GUGAUUGAAGUCAAGUAAGUGAGUGUGGAAUGUAAAAUCAAUCAUAUCAAUUCACGAGACAGUAACAUGAAUAUUAUUAUGAUGAUGAUGAUAUUAUAUUCUUCUCAUACAUAGUUACUUACUCUACUAAUAAUAAUGUAUUGAUGCGGUUGGUUAUGGAUACGGUUGAAGAAGAAUUUGUUGAGAUUCCAAUUCCAAUUCCAUCAUCUACUUCUUCAUCAUCAAUGGCGAAAAGACCUUGUCCAUCUCAAAACCCUAGAAUGGAACUCGAAAAUCUCCUCUACCAAUUCCUCUCCCUUUCCGAUCGUCCUUCUCUCUCUCUCGAUCUCUCCUUCGAGAAUCUUCUUCAAUCAAUGCCUCCUGAUACCGAUCUCAUCGAUCGCGCUCUCAAAAUGGGAUCUCUACUUCUUGAUGCUGCCAAACACUCCUCACGCAAACGCGCUUCUAAUCAUAAUUCAAUUGUUUGGCCUCUCCCUCCUGAUCUCACUUUCAAGAUCUUCUCGAUGCUUGAUACUCAGAGUCUGUGCUAUGUAUCUGCUGCUUGUUCGUUUUUUAGCAAAUGUGCUAAAGAUCCUUUGUGUUAUGAGAAUCUUGAUUUGACAACACUUGUUCCUAAGGUUAACAAUGCAGUAGUUGCUACUAUGAUUCAGCGAGCUGGAAAGGCACUAAGGUCUCUUAAACUUGGUGUUGUCCCUGCUACUGCUUGUUCUCCUGGAUUUUGUCAACCAAUGGUUUCUACCAUCAGAAAGGCUAUUGUAGAGGCCCCUAACUUUUCAUGGAAUGAUAAGAGAUCUCGCCAAGGGAGAGAGUCAUCCGUUCUUACAAGAUGCUGUUUAAGCCCUUUAAGUGGGGAUGGUGGUGCACCAGGGGCUCUUUUGAGAAAGUUACACCUGUACAAUAUUGAGAGAAUGGACAGCACAUCCCUUUGUGGUGCAUUGUCGGCGUGCCCAUCUCUCCUUGAUCUGGAAAUUGUCGGAAUCCAUGUUGAACUGAGGCAAACAUUAAUGUCAGUAAGUGCAAACUGCCACCUGAUUGAGCGUUUGUUUUUUGAGUCUUCAAGAACAGGUAGAGAUGACAGCUUGAAAGCGCAAACCUGUUCUGAGCUAGUAAACAAUUGUCCUAAUCUAACUUCUUUAUCUCUUCGAGGGUUUAAGCUACAUGAUUGUAAAGUUCGUAUACUGGUUAAGGGAUUUCGGAAACUGAAAUAUGUUGAUUUUUCAUCAUCAUAUUCAAUCACAGGAAAUUUCUUAAGGAACCUUGGAAACUGCAAUGGUGGGAAUUUGCUCGAGGUCCUAAUUCUAAGGGAUUGCAUGCAUCUCAAAGAGAUGGAAGUUAUUAGGUUUUUGACAGCAAUUCUUGCAGGAGAUUUCAAAUUGCUUAUGCAUCUUGACAUAUCCAAUAGGGAAGGCCUAGCAUGUGAGGCUGACUGGUACCACAGGUGCUACAGCUCUAACAGUAAUAUGCCUAUCAAGCAGGUUUUGGAAGCAAGGCCUGAUAUGCGAUUGGUGGCUGAAUAUCCAUCCGAAGGAAGCUACGCCGAGACAUUUGAUGCUGAAAUGAAUAGUGAUAUAAGUCUGCAAUUCAGCAGCCCUACAUCAGAUGGAUCAAUUUUUAUGAGUACAUCUGAAAGCAGCUACAACAGUGACCAUGGUAGUGGCAAUGAGGAAGGACAAGAUGCGGUGAUUUAUGGGGAAAGUUCAGAUGAGGACAACAAUAUGAACCUGUAACCAAUCCUCAAUUUAUGGCAUUAAUGGAAAAGGACAACAAUCUAGUGAAGUUGGGGAGCAGUAGGGUGAAGAAGGAUAUACCAUUCGCCAGGAUCGAUGUCAACUGUGGACUCUGGAUUUUUCAGCUUUUGUUUUGCCCUUCACCAACGCUAUUGAGGAUUGGAGAUUGGUACCAAUUUUGUUAUUGGCCUUUGUUUCCAUAUUUGCAGAAUGUAAAUAUAUGGCCGCACCAUCCCGGUCUACCCCUAAAAAGAGAGGUGGUUUUUCCUGAGCAUCAUCAAUCCAUAUAUAACAUGGGAGUUUUUGUUCUCUCUCUAUCUCCCACUCCCUUUGAUACUAGGCACUAGCUAUCUAAGAAGCAAAAUAAAAUUAAUAAACAAUUAUCUGUUUACAUUAUUAUUAUUAUUAUGACCGAGCAUGGCAUGACAUUUAUUUCGAACAAAAGAAAUGUGGACAAUUUUUUUAAGGUAUAAUUGGUGGGUAAUGAAAUUUUGAUCAUGAUCUCAUGAAUUACUCA